ACAUUGGUAGUCCAGUGGUAGAAUUCUUGCCUUCCGUGUGGAAGACCUGGGUUUACUUCCCAGCCAAUGAA
rnacentral:tRNA from 1 species